UGAAACCCAGCAGCAUGUCUCUAGGUAACAGGACUUCAAACGGCUGGAAAUGUAGCUGAUCUUAUGCAAUGAUAUCGGCAGAGACGGAGGAACAUGAUAGGUGUUCAGGAGCUGCGUGCUGACGAGGGUCGCUUUCAGCACUAUUCAUGUGUCACCCGAGCCCAGUUUGGCAACCUGCUGACCGGCAUCAGAGCCUGCAUCUCCCACCAGGACAUCAACUACAGGUGCCCCAUUUCAGCUGAAGGAUUGAACUAGGUGAUACACAUCAUGUGCAGCUGAAACAUCUGAAGCAACUACGCAAAGCUAUCAUUGGCGGAAGGUUUCCAACACCUUGUUCAAUCCAUAAAAAAACAGUCCAACCACAU